GACGAACCGUGCAAACGUUAUUCGGAAUCACUGGGCAUAAAGGGCGCGUAGGCGGCUCGAAAAGUCAGGGGUGAAAUCCGGCAGCUUAACUGUCGCAGUGCCUUUGAUACUGUCGAGCUCGAGGGAUGUAGGGGUCUGUGGAACUUCCGGUGGAGCGGUGAAAUGCGUUGAUAUCGGAAGGAACGCCGGUGGCGAAAGCGACGGACUGGACAUCUUCUGACGCUGAGGCGCGAAAGCCAGGGGAGCAAACGGG
rnacentral:rRNA from 2 species